rnacentral:tRNA from 1 species
GCCGAGGUGGUGAAAUGGCAGACACGCUAGUUUCAGGUACUAGUGCCCGCAAGGGCGUGGGGGUUCAACUCCCCCCUUCGGCA